AAAUAUUUUAUUGGGGAGGGCAAGGCCCCCUAGGCCCCUAGGAGUUGGCUUCUAUGCACAGGACCAUUAAAAAUAUUGUAACAGGAAAUGUACAGGAAAUCAUAAGCUUCCUGAAACAUUGGAGCUGAGAUGGAGGUAUGAGGCACCCUGAUAGUUAUCUUUCCUUCUCCUUACACCUGAGCCCACGGCCAAUAGUUGUCAAUACGUAUUAGAGGACUUUUUAGUUUGGAUUAUGCAUACUUGUUUUCCUUCUACAGGGUUGGUGAACCUGUGACUCUUCAGUUGCUGUUGAACUAUGACUCCCAUAAUCCUUGACUUCUGGCCAUGCUGCCUAAGACUUAGGGGGCACUGAGCCCAACAACAUGUGGAGGGCCACAACUUCCCAGCCCUUGCCAUCCUGGUUUCUGUGCCUGUCUUAAGCAGCUGCUAUAUAUAACUGAAAUCAUACACACAACUGUUACUGAAAAUUGUGGACGGCGAGAACCAGAAACAAAAGCACAAUUAUUAACAGACUCGAAGAAGAUCCAGCUACAUCACAAGCCUCCCACGAGCCAGACGCUAAAGGGAGAGACCAGAAACAAAGGUGCAGAGCAACUUUAAGUAAAUGCCGUCAUUUGCCCAGGAUCAGACUAUUCCCAUGCAUUUAUUUCCACCACAUUGCAAAGCCAGAAUCAUGCAGGAAUCGUUUGCUGUCCAUUUCCUGAAGGUGCUGAAGGAACUCCUAGCUUUUGUGCUGUUCAGUUACACAGUGCUGUUAGGGGCGCUGCUCUUGGCUGGCUGGACCACUUAUUUCCUGGUGCUUAAGUGACAGCUCAUGUUUUCCACCAGCAGCUUACAGAUGGAGCCCAGAUGCACUGUCUAUCCAACACCCAAUCAAUAAACACAAUUCCAUUUCUAUUCUA